UUGAACGCUGGCGGCAUGCUUUACACAUGCCAGUCGAACGGCGGCGCGGGCUUCGGCCUGGCGGCGAGUGGCGAACGGGUGAGUAAUACAUCGGAACGUGCCCAGUAGUGGGGGAUAGCUCGGCGAAAGCCGGAUUAAUACCGCAUACGACCUGAGGGUGAAAGCGGGGGAUCUUCGGACCUCGCGCUAUUGGAGCGGCCGAUGGCAGAUUAGCUAGUUGGUGGGGUAAAGGCCUACCAAGGCGACGAUCUGUAGCUGGUCUGAGAGGACGACCAGCCACACUGGGACUGAGACACGGCCCAGACUCCUACGGGAGGCAGCAGUGGGGAAUUUUGGACAAUGGGCGAAAGCCUGAUCCAGCAAUGCCGCGUGUGUGAUGAAGGCCUUCGGGUUGUAAAGCACUUUUGGCGGGAACGAAAAGGACUGUGCCAAUACCACGGUUCGAUGACGGUACCCGCAGAAUAAGCACCGGCUAACUACGUG
rnacentral:rRNA from 1 species